rnacentral:rRNA from 1 species
AGAUUGAACGCUGGCGGCAUGCUUUACACAUGCAAGUCGAACGGCAGCACGGGGGCAACCCUGGUGGCGAGUGGCGAACGGGUGAGUAAUAUAUCGGAACGUACCCGGAAAUGGGGGAUAACGUAGCGAAAGUUACGCUAAUACCGCAUAU